GAAUUUGAAGCAAUUAAGAUGCAAUUAGUUUCGACCUAAAAAAAAGGUAUUAAUUUACCCUAAUUCU
rnacentral:tRNA from 1 species